CCUACGGGGGGCAGCAGUAGGGAAUCUUUCACAAUGGGUGAAAGCCUGAUGGAGCAACGCCGCGUGCAGGAUGAAGGCCUUCGGGUUGUAAACUGCUUUUAUAAGCGAGAAAUAUGAUGGUAACUUAUGAAUAAGGAUCGGCUAACUACGUUCCAGCAGCCGCGGUCAUACGUAGGAUCCGAGCAUUAUCCGGAGUGACUGGGUGUAAAGAGUUGCGUAGGUGGCAUAAUAAGUAGCUAGUGAAAUCUGGUGGCUCAACCAUUCAGACUAUUAGCUAAACUGUUAAGCUCGAGACCGUUAGGGGUAACUGGAAUUUCUAGUGUAGGAGUGAAAUCCGUAGAUAUUAGAAGGAACACCAAUAGCGUAGGCAGGUUGCUGGGACGGUUCUGACACUAAGGCACGAAAGCGUAGGGAGCAAACGGGAUUAGAUACCCCGGUAGUC
rnacentral:rRNA from 1 species